CUUCACUAGGCCUGACAGGGACAGAUUGCAUGACAACAAACAUGUUAGCAUGCAUGUAUGUAUGUAUGUAUGUAUGCCACAUGGAGGAGCACCUCCCACCAUGCUCCCAGCAUGCUUUAUGACACUAAGGAGGGUCAAGCUCAUAGAUGGCGGUGCAGUUGACAUCAUACGUGUGGUUGUGAACUCCAGACAGCCUGUCAGUGAAUCCAGAAGGGUGAAUAAAGACACCCUGCCUCACUGUGAUGUUGGGGUAGACCAGCUUGAGGAAACACACUGCCAUCAGACACAGAAGAAACAGGAAGCAUCUGUGUCUCAAUCUAUGGAUGAAAAAUGCCUGAUCUUCAUAGGGGUCUGAGUUAUUCUGGAAAAGACCUGGUGUGCAUGUAAAUGCUCCAUGCGCAUGGAAACAGAAAAAAGUUUUUAUUGCCAUGAGACUCAACAUAUUGGCAGAAAAUGGCUGAUUAUCCAGACCAUCCCCUCCAGUGUAUGCCAGAGCACCCGGGAUUUAUUGCCAGCUGUCUGAAUCCAUGAGUAUUUGAGGUUCUUUUUACAUUAAAAACCCUGCAAACGUCAGACCAUAAGCUUGUCUGCACUUGUCAAGAGUCAGAUAUACUUUCUUGUGAAACUGUUUCUUUGGCGUGGAGUCACAGGCAUUUUUUGUUUACAUUUUCCAUAGCUGUCAAUAAAUUGUUAAACGAUAAAAGUUUUGUAUCCAUUGUAUGUAUUGUUGUUACUUUCUGUUGGGGGGCUUCUGAGCUCAUCGGACCGUGUCCAGGUUCAGCGGCUGAUCCAAAUUCGUGUUUGGUCCCUUUAGCAACACAAGAUCUGUUCAAGUAUCGGAACUGGCUGCAUCGUAGGCACUGAUCCAGGUUGUAACAUUUAAAACCCAUCUCAGACAUGAGUCCACCAGUAAAAGAGUCUGUGGUGAAA